AGCAACAAAUGCCCUGCUUCCAGGAAAAGCCUCUAAGCAUCAGGUAACAUCAAAUCGUACCCCAAACCGACACAGGUGGUCAGGUAGAGAAUACCAAGGCGCUUGAGAGAACUCGGGUGAAGGAACUAGGCAAAAUGGUGCCGUAACUUCGGGAGAAGGCACGCUGACAUGUAGGUGAAGUGAUUUACUCAUGGAGCUGAAGUCAGUCGAAGAUACCAGCUGGCUGCAACUGUUUAUUAAAAACACAGCACUGUGCAAACACGAAAGUGGACGUAUACGGUGUGACGCCUGCCCGGUGCCGGAAGGUUAAUUGAUGGGGUCAGCGCAAGCGAAGCUCCUGAUCGAAGCCCCGGUAAACGGCGGCCGUAACUAUAACGGUCCUAAGGUAGCGAAAUUCCUUGUCGGGUAAGUUCCGACCUGCACGAAUGGCGUAAUGAUGGCCAGGCUGUCUCCACCCGAGACUCAGUGAAAUUGAACUCGCUGUGAAGAUGCAGUGUACCCGCGGCAAGACGGAAAGACCCCGUGAACCUUUACUAUAGCUUGACACUGAACAUUGAGCCUUGAUGUGUAGGAUAGGUGGGAGGCUUUGAAGUGUGGACGCCAGUCUGCAUGGAGCCGACCUUGAAAUACCACCCUUUAAUGUUUGAUGUUCUAACGUGGACCCGUUAUCCGGGUUGCGGACAGUGUCUGGUGGGUAGUUUGACUGGGGCGGUCUCCUCCUAAAGAGUAACGGAGGAGCACGAAGGUUGGCUAAUCCUGGUCGGACAUCAGGAGGUUAGUGCAAUGGCAUAAGCCAGCUUGACUGCGAGCGUGACGGCGCGAGCAGGUGCGAAAGCAGGUCAUAGUGAUCCGGUGGUUCUGAAUGGAAGGGCCAUCGCUCAACGGAUAAAAGGUACUCCGGGGAUAACAGGCUGAUACCGCCCAAGAGUUCAUAUCGACGGCGGUGUUUGGCACCUCGAUGUCGGCUCAUCACAUCCUGGGGCUGAAGUAGGUCCCAAGGGUAUGGCUGUUCGCCAUUUAAAGUGGUACGCGAGCUGGGUUUAGAACGUCGUGAGACAGUUCGGUCCCUAUCUGCCGUGGGCGCUGGAGAACUGAGGGGGGCUGCUCCUAGUACGAGAGGACCGGAGUGGACGCAUCACUGGUGUUCGGGUUGUCAUGCCAAUGGCACUGCCCGGUAGCUAAAUGCGGAAGAGAUAAGUGCUGAAAGCAUCUAAGCACGAAACUUGCCCCGAGAUGAGUUCUCCCUGAGACUUAGAGUCUCCUGAAGGAACGUUGAAGACGACGACGUUGAUAGGCCGGGUGUGUAAGCGCAGCGAUGCGUUGAGCUAACCGGUACUAAUGAACCGUGAGGCUUAACCUUACAACGCCGAAG
rnacentral:rRNA from 1 species